AGGGGGCAUCUUUAAGCAAGGUGUCCCUGCCUUCACUGUGCUCCAACCUGAAGGUCCCCUGGCAGUGCUGAGGGACCGAGCCCAGCAGAUCUCAUGUCCUCUAUACCUGUGUCCGAUGCUGGAGGCCCUCGAGGAAGGGGGGCCGCCGCUGACCCUGGGCCUGGAGGGGGAGCACCAGCGGUCCAACGCCGCCUUGGCCUUGCAGCUGGCCCACUGCUGGCUGCAGUGGCAGGACCGCCAUGGUGCUGGGGAGCCAAAGGCAUCCAGGCCAGGGCUCCUGUGGCAGCUGCCCCUGGCACCCGUGUUCCAGCCCACAUCCCACAUGCGGCUCGGGCUUCGGAACACGGAGUGGCCGGGCCGGACGCAGGUGCUGCGGCGCGGGCCCCUCACCUGGUACCUGGACGGUGCGCACACGGCCAGCAGCGUGCAGGCCUGCGUGCGCUGGUUCCGCCAGGCGCUGCAGGGCCGCGAGAGGCCGAGCGGUGGCCCCGAGGUUCGAGUCUUGCUCUUCAAUGCUACCGGGGACCGGGACCCGGCGGCCCUGCUGAAGCUGCUGCAGACCAACAGAACUUCACAGUGACACUGGACCAGGUUCUGCUCCGCUGCCUGGAACACCAGCAGCACUGGAACCACCUGGACGAAGAGCAGG
rnacentral:sRNA from 1 species